AAUAUUCGUCCUUCCUUACACAGG
rnacentral:siRNA from 1 species